UUUUUUUUUAAUUUUUUUUUUUUGGAUUUGUGAGCAAAACUUGUAGGAUUUGGAGUUUUUCAUUGGAUAAAAGAAAAAUGCCGAAAAAUAUAAGAGAAAAAAAGGGGGAAAAAAAGUAUGAUAUAUAUAUAUAUGUAUCAGAGUGAGAUUGAACAAUUUUUGUUUUAUGGAGAAUCAUCAAGAGCGGAACAGGAUACUUCAGAAGAGUUAUUCUUUACCAUAUCACGAGUCAGGAACUCAUUUCAGUGGUAGUACGUUGAAAUGAUAAUCUUGUAAUUAAAAGCUGAGGAUAGUUGUUAUGGUGUUAUGUGAAAAAGGAAAUCAUAAAAUGGGCGGCACUGGGGUCCACAUCAACUAAUAAAAAGGCACUUUUGGUGGAAUCAAUUCCGCCAAUCGCAUGCUACGCUAUGGUUCAUAAAAGAAAACGGUAUUAAAUAUUAGAAGAUAAAAUAUUAAAUGUUCUAUACUUGUGCUAAAUGAAGUGUUGCAGUCCUCUCAGCAGUGCUGGGUGUAUGAGCAGAGGUGCUCACAAACAAGAAACUGCCAUUAGUUGACAGAUGAGAGAGGCCACUUUCAUUUAAACAUUCUUCUCUAAUCAAAUGAACGGAGCAUCCCCAUCCUAGUGAAGUGAGAGAGAAGUAAAUAAAACGCAAGA
rnacentral:misc_RNA from 1 species